UAAUGUGUUUACAGGACGUGGGGGUGAAAAUUGGAGGAAGAAUCAUAUGGUCCUCAAUUUGGGUUCUUGUGUAGGGGUGGAUUGGGGCCCAAGAGGGAUAUGCACGUGCUGAGGGUUUUUCAAUGGAAGGUUGAGGCAGGUGUGUCUUGGCGGGAGGGUUGGAGUGGGGUGGGAGGGGGGAUUGGGAGUGAGCACGAGAUGCUCGGCCGAGGGGCGCACGACGGCGAGCGUUCCCACGGAGCCGCGCGCCCCGAACGGGGGAAAGAGGGCGAAUCGAUAAGCCACCUCACGGCUGACGUAACGGAACGGACGUCACUGUUGCGACGUCACGGGGCGGGCGGGAGCCAAUGGCGAGGCUCGCGCUUGGGCGCAUCGAUCGGCGACGUCACGGCUCUGACGUCGCGGCGGGAAGUUUUAUAAUGGGAACGGAGCGCGGCGCGGCUCAGUCUGAACCGUAGCGCCGCGCCCGCGAGUAGCUCCGCAGCGCAGUCGGGAGUCGGGAUUCGCAUCUCAUCUCAUCGUAUUCGCAUCGCAUUCGGAUAGCGAGGAAACGUGUUGGUUGCUUCGAAUGGUGGUGCUGGUGGUGUAACGGUGCCUCUAGUGCGCGGUGUCCGUGUGUGUUGGUGCUGAGUCGGGUUGGUCAGCUGGUCGGCUGCAUGAUUCUCGCGUGGCGGGGGUGUGUGACUCUGGAGUCUGAUCGGGUGUCGCCGGCCCAACUCGAGGAACUGCUGCCUCUCCAUCUCCAGUCUGAGUCUGAGCCCGAGUCGCGGUACUUGUCGCCGUCGCCGGACCUCAUCUCCGUCGGAACCGAUCUCGAGCCGGAGCCGGAGCUUCGGGUGUGCGUCUCCGUGUCUCCCCGCUCCCAGUCGCUCGACUCCCUCGACUCCCAGUUGCUUCGCUUCGACCUCUUGCCCAGCUGUGUCCCGUGUCCCUCCGACGAGGAGCCCCCCUUCGAGUCCGAGUCCCGCCAGGAGUUGUGCGAGCGCGUCCUCAGGGGCUCCGACCCCUCCUUGCAUGAGUCCUGCUCGGACCUAACCGUCUCGCAGUUGUCGCCGCAACCGAUCCUCCCAGGUUGCGAGGACAUUGGAUUGCAACGAUUGGAUCAGAGGGUCAGUGUGAAGUUGGCGCCAUUUUAACUAUCACAUAAAAUUUGGUUCGGCGGAUUUGUAAAAUUUCGCGAUUGAUUCGAGAACAGUGCCUAUGGAUGUUUGAAGUUCGAAAAAUGCGCAACGCUCAUUCAAUCACGUA
rnacentral:lncRNA from 1 species